UGUUUCGGCAAGGGGGUCAUCCCGACUUACCAACCCGAUGCAAACUGCGAAUACCGGAGAAUGUUAUCACGGGAGACACACGGCGGGUGCUAACGUCCGUCGUGAAGAGGGAAACAACCCAGACCGCCAGCUAAGGUCCCAAAGUCAUGGUUAAGUGGGAAACGAUGUGGGAAGGCCCAGACAGCCAGGAUGUUGGCUUAGAAGCAGCCAUCAUUUAAAGAAAGCGUAAUAGCUCACUGGUCGAGUCGGCCUGCGCGGAAGAUGUAACGGGGCUAAACCAUGCACCGAAGCUGCGGCAGCGACGCUUAUGCGUUGUUGGGUAGGGGAGCGUUCUGUAAGCCUGCGAAGGUGUGCUGUGAGGCAUGCUGGAGGUAUCAGAAGUGCGAAUGCUGACAUAAGUAACGAUAAAGCGGGUGAAAAGCCCGCUCGCCGGAAGACCAAGGGUUCCUGUCCAACGUUAAUCGGGGCAGGGUGAGUCGACCCCUAAGGCGAGGCCGAAAGGCGUAGUCGAUGGGAAACAGGUUAAUAUUCCUGUACUUGGUGUUACUGCGAAGGGGGGACGGAGAAGGCUAUGUUGGCCGGGCGACGGUUGUCCCGGUUUAAGCGUGUAGGCUGGUUUUCCAGGCAAAUCCGGAAAAUCAAGGCUGAGGCGUGAUGACGAGGCACUACGGUGCUGAAGCAACAAAUGCCCUGCUUCCAGGAAAAGCCUCUAAGCAUCAGGUAACAUCAAAUCGUACCCCAAACCGACACAGGUGGUCAGGUAGAGAAUACCAAGGCGCUUGAGAGAACUCGGGUGAAGGAACUAGGCAAAAUGGUGCCGUAACUUCGGGAGAAGGCACGCUGAUAUGUAGGUGAAGUCCCUUGCGGAUGGAGCUGAAAUCAGUCGAAGAUACCAGCUGGCUGCAACUGUUUAUUAAAAACACAGCACUGUGCAAACACGAAAGUGGACGUAUACGGUGUGACGCCUGCCCGGUGCCGGAAGGUUAAUUGAUGGGGUCAGCGCAAGCGAAGCUCUUGAUCGAAGCCCCGGUAAACGGCGGCCGUAACUAUAACGGUCCUAAGGUAGCGAAAUUCCUUGUCGGGUAAGUUCCGACCUGCACGAAUGGCGUAAUGAUGGCCAGGCUGUCUCCACCCGAGACUCAGUGAAAUUGAACUCGCUGUGAAGAUGCAGUGUACCCGCGGCAAGACGGAAAGACCCCGUGAACCUUUACUAUAGCUUGACACUGAACAUUGAGCCUUGAUGUGUAGGAUAGGUGGGAGGCUUGGAAGUGUGGACGCCAGUCUGCAUGGAGCCGACCUUGAAAUACCACCCUUUAAUGUUUGAUGUUCUAACGUUGACCCGUAAUCCGGGUUGCGGACAGUGUCUGGUGGGUAGUUUGACUGGGGCGGUCUCCUCCUAAAGAGUAACGGAGGAGCACGAAGGUUGGCUAAUCCUGGUCGGACAUCAGGAGGUUAGUGCAAUGGCAUAAGCCAGCUUGACUGCGAGCGUGACGGCGCGAGCAGGUGCGAAAGCAGGUCAUAGUGAUCCGGUGGUUCUGAAUGGAAGGGCCAUCGCUCAACGGAUAAAAGGUACUCCGGGGAUAACAGGCUGAUACCGCCCAAGAGUUCAUAUCGACGGCGGUGUUUGGCACCUCGAUGUCGGCUCAUCACAUCCUGGGGCUGAAGUAGGUCCCAAGGGUAUGGCUGUUCGCCAUUUAAAGUGGUACGCGAGCUGGGUUUAGAACGUCGUGAGACAGUUCGGUCCCUAUCUGCCGUGGGCGCUGGAGAACUGAGGGGGGCUGCUCCUAGUACGAGAGGACCGGAGUGGACGCAUCACUGGUGUUCGGGUUGUCAUGCCAAUGGCACUGCCCGGUAGCUAAAUGCGGAAGAGAUAAGUGCUGAAAGCAUCUAAGCACGAAACUUGCCCCGAGAUGAGUUCUCCCUGACUCCUUGAGAGUCCUGAAGGAACGUUGAAGACGACGACGUUGAUAGGCCGGGUGUGUAAGCGCAGCGAUGCGUUGAGCUAACCGGUACUAAUGAACCGUGAGGCUUAACCUU
rnacentral:rRNA from 1 species